rnacentral:rRNA from 1 species
CCUACGGGAGGCAGCAGUAGGGAAUAUUGCUCAAUGGGGGAAACCCUGAAGCAGCAAAGCCGCGUGGAGGAUGACGGUUUUCGGAUUGUAAACUCCUUUUGUUAGGGAAGAUAAUGACGGUAUCUAACGAAUAAGCACCGGCUAACGCCGUGCCAGCAGCCGCGGGAUUCCGGAGGGUGCAAGCGUUACUAGGAAUCACUGGGCGUAAAUAGCGCGUAGGCGGGAUAGCAAGUCAGAUGUGAAAUCCUAUGGCUUAACCAUAGAACUGCAUUUGAAACUGUCAUUCUAGAGUAUGGGAGAGGUAGGUGGAAUUCGUGGUGUAGGGGUAAAAUGCGUAGAGAUCAAGAGGAAUACUCAUUGCGAAGGCGACCUGCUAGAACAUAACUGACGCUGAUGCGCGAAAGCGUGGGGAGCAAACAGGAUUAGAUACCCGAGUAGUC